GCCCAGACUCCUACGGGAGGCAGCAGUGGGGAAUAUUGCACAAUGGGGGGAACCCUGAUGCAGCAAUGCCGCGUGGGUGAAGAAGCACUCCGGUGCGUAAAGCCCUGUCAGCAGGGAAGAAAAUGACAGUACCUGACCAAGAAGCCCCGGCUAACUACGUGCCAGCAGCCGCGGUAAUACGUAGGGGGCAAGCGUUAUCCGGAAUCACUGGGUGUAAAGGGAGCGUAGACGGCUGUGCAAGCCUGAAGUGAAAGGCGGGAGCCCAACCCCUGGACUGCUUUGGGAACUGUACGGCUGGAGUGCAGGAGAGGUAAGUGGAAUUCCUAGUGUAGCGGUGAAAUGCGUAGAUAUUAGGAGGAACACCAGUGGCGAAGGCGGCUUACUGGACUGUAACUGACGUUGAGGCUCGAAAGCGUGGGGAGCAAACAGGAUUAGAUACCCCAGUACU
rnacentral:rRNA from 1 species